GUCACAUGUAGGCAGUAGGGAUAUGCAUUACAUUUGGACGAAUCCUGAAUCUCAGCGCGUCUCGGGGGCAUUUUCGGCAUGUCAGAAAUGAAGUGGGAUCUUUACAAGGUGGCAAAAGUCAAAGUGAGGACCCUUGAAAUGCUGCAUUAGCACCUUGGUGAUUGAGACAUCAACAAAAUGUUGCAGACAAGCAUCUGCUAGAGGUAAAAGGAGGAGUCCAUCUUGUGGUUUCAUCCAGCAGGGUAAUUCUAAUCCAUCCUCUGGCGAAACCCUAAAACUCCUCAUGGACUCAUGAGGUAAUUAAUUUUUUCUUUCAAACUAUAGCUAUUUAGAAGGACUAACUGCUCUUGUAAAUGCCACCACAUGUACAAGCCUACACUUGGUUUUGUAAACCGCUUUGAGGUCACCCCCCCCCUUAUCAAGCAAGUGUAUAUAAACAAUAUUAAAUAAAUAAGUUACCCCUGGUGUGUGUAUGAGGGUGGGGGUGCAGGGAAGAACCUGUUUUUGAUUCCUCGUUGGUGGGGGGGACUCCUGGGGGUAUUAGUAUUUAUACAUUUAUUUGUGGCCUUCUGAGGCUGUUGCCUUGGAAAUGCUCCCCUGAUCUUCCAGGCCUUGGUGAGAGAGAAAGAGGCAGCUCUCCAAAGAGAAACAUUUUCACCCUGAAAUUCCAGCACCACCACUGGUUUCCUCACAUCCUUGACUGUUCUGAGGAGAAGUGUUGAAUCUCUUCAAAGAAAUGACCCUGUAACUUGAUGCAUUCCUCACCAGCCACCUCACUCCUUAAGUCCCUUAAGUCUCAGAGGGAACUGACACAGGUAAACUGAAGAUCUGAGGGAAUCAUUUUGUGGCCGCUCAACGGAGAAGGAACACGCUCGGUGUUCAGAUAACCACAAUCUGACAGACCAAAAGUGGCGGUUGCACCAAAUGCAGCGAGGGAGAAAGAGGGAGCGUGGCUCCCAUCUGAUGGGUAUUAUGGGAGCCCAGCCAAAAAUCCUCAGCGCUCUGUCCUCUGCCCCCUUCGCCACAGGAACAAGAGGAGAUCUACGAGAGAAGUUCCCUCAGGGGAACUUUUCCCUCAGAGAAAUUCCGGCCACGUGGAAAUUGCAGAACCCGCCAAAACCUCUAGCUCCCAAUGUUUGAAAAAGCCAGCACCUGGCGCUUUCCCUGCAUGCCCUGCUCUUUACGGCUGAACCAGAGCAAACAGCAAUCCACAGAAGACCCCAAUUGCUGUUUGUUCCAAUUCAGCUUUAAGGAGCGGGUUUUCCUGAGGAAAAGGUCGAGGGGGGGGGGGACACCCAGACAUGGUGCUUCAAGAGCAUAGUUAUGUGCCUAGAAAAUGCAGGGCAAAAGGUACAUGUGGAUGAGCCCUAACUCUUCCAUCAGUGCAAGAAUGUACACUUGUGCAAUAGAACUCCCCCCUCCCUGUCAUGAGCCCUAUGGAGGUUUCAUAAGGCUAGUAGGAGGGAGAGGGGGAAUAGGAUGAGAGUGCAGAAUUGGAUCCUACGGAGGGGCCCAGCAGUCCAGGAAAUGCUGCAAGUGGUGCAGAAUGCUGCCGCCGGAUUGUUAUGUGAAGAAGCAAGAUGGCAUCAUUUGUUAUCAACCCUUAAAACACCACAUUGGCUGCCUGUGAGCUACUGGGCUCAGUUCACAGUGUUGGUGCUAGGGUACAAAGCCCUGAACUGCUUGGGACCCAAGGACUUAAAGGAUUGCCUCCCCAGUUCCUACCAGCUUAUACAUUAAAUGGUGGAGAAAGCUCUGCUUGUGGUCCCUCCAAAGUAUAUGACCCGUAGGGCAGGGCCUUCUCGGUGGCGACACCUUAGUUGCGGAAAUCCCUCCUUGUGGGGGAUUUGUCUCCUAGCUGAUGUCACUUAGGUCUUAGGAAACAACGUAAAACAUAUUUAUCUGUUCGGGCCUUUGAUACGUAGCUGGAGCAAAAGUAAAUGGUGCAAGUACUGCUUGCUGCCUGUUGCACUGGGUUUUUAAAUUUACAGUUAGCCAUCCUGGGCUCCUAUGGGAAGGACAGGAUGAUAAUUUAAAGACAAAAUUUUAUUGUCCUUUUGGAUUGUGUAUGCAGCCUUGAGUUUCUUUGGAAUCUGGAAAUUAUGUAUUUAUCUAGAGUUAUCUAUCUGCUUAAAAAUAUAAAUAGCAGAGUUCCAAAUGAAUGCAGGUAAGAACGAAGAAUAACACUAUUAAAGAAAGAAAGCCUUGUGGGCGAUUAUUUCCCAAUAUCCCUACUCCACUUUGAACCACGUUUCUGUUUUUAAUUGUGCUGUUUGUGUUUUUCACACACCCACACCCUGUCUGACUUCUUUCGCUCCUUAAUGCUCUCAGGCAUCAAGGCUGUUUGUACACAGAAAAUAAUCCUAAUGUUAACAUAAAAUAGAAAGCAGGCUUGCUUCUUCUUCUUUUUUCAAACCACAUAAUAGCUGUUAAGAAGAUCUAUCUUUCUAAUGAUCCGCUCGAGGGUCAGAACAGCUAAUCUCUUCUUAGGACUGUAAAGAUAAUAUUAACACAGGGAGAAGUAGCUAUGGGCAGCAGACAAAGCCGCACGGUAAAUCAAAAGACCCUCGUGCUAAGUGAUAUUCUGCACACAUCCCACACCACAUGUCAGCUGGAUCCCCCUCCAGGAUCCAGAGGACUUCAGCCUUUUUACAAUGGUGGAGGAAAGGCUGAAAAUGCCUGCUGGAGGAGUCAGGUGUACAAGGAGUAUUCCGUAUAGUUAUUUAGGGGGGGGGAAACAAGGUUUUGUUCCCUGGGGCCAUUGCACUCUGCCUUUGGAGAAAACAAAACAAAAUAAAAACAGCUAAAGAUUUUUUUAUAUAUAUUAGUCAUCUGGACAUUCAUCUGAUUAAAAAAAAAAGAAUGAUGUGAGUUGAUCACUAAUCUGCACGAGCACAUCUAUCUAUCAUCUAUCUAUCAUCUAUCUAUAUCUAUUUUAAAGAAUCUGAAAUUUCUAUUUUGUUAGUCACUAUAAUAAAUAGUUUUAGUGACGAACUAUAUCCUACUAGGAACCAUCACAAACGUGUCUGAAGUGCUGUUUGAUGCUUUCAAUGUGAUCUAUCGAUCAAUCGAUCAAUCUAGGAACUCAUUCUAUUCUCUUGACUUUGAUUUUUUAAAACUGAUUUUUAUAUUGUAUUUUUUAAUUGCUGAUAUCUGCCCUGGGAACUUAUGGUAAAUGGUGGCUAAAUCAUCAUCAUCAUCGAGUUUGAAGGAACCCCAGGGUUCAUCUGGUACAAUCCCCUGCAAUGCAACAAUCACAGCUCAAGAAGAACUCAUUGUAAAAACUUAUAAUUAGCAUAUUUUUUGCUCCUAAUUCCAAUUAAAAAGGUUUUUUUUUUUUUAAUGAUUUACUGUAAACCUUACAGGCAUUUCAGGAAGGAAGCAUUAUAUUAGGAGGAGACCUAAAUGAAUGUCUAAAUCCUCAUCUAGAUCGAAAAAACUAUACAAAAAGAUAUAAACACUCCAAUCAUACUGUUUCACAACUUAUUUAUGACUUCAAUCUGGCACCUUUGCCAUCCUACUACUAGGCAAUAUUCUUUUCAUUCAUACUUAUUUGCAUAUCUGGAUCAUUUGGACUAUCUUUUCGUUUCUAGUGAUUUAAACAAGAAGUUUAUACUAUGAUUCUGGCAAUAAGGCAUCUGGGUUGCUAGGUCAUUCCUUGAAGAAACGGAGAUCCAUGAAUUUAAUUCAUUGUAUUCAAUCAUCUCAAGGUGUUUUGUUAUACAGUAAUCCUUCAAUUAGCAAAUAAUUUAUAUAACUUUUCAAACAACUGUAUUCCUCUAAUUUAUCAUCUGCAGAGGCCAUCAACUCAUAUCUUACUCAGACUGCUCUUCUAAUCUCAAUGGAAGAACUUUUUGAACAAGAUGCAUUUCAGUUAUAAAUUCCUCCAUCUGAUAAAUCUAAUUUAACCAUCAUCAACAAGAAUAACAAUUAAAAGAGAGCAUGCAGAUAGUACUAUUAUUAAUAGAGGAACUAAACAGGGCUGCCUUCUAUCGCUGCUUUUUCAGUGGCAAUAGAGGUUCUAGCAAUAAAUUUGAGGUCUCAAAAGGUAUUGAGGAUAUUAUGGUUGAAGGCGCACCAACUUAAUCUUUUUGCAGAUGAUAUGUUUUUAAUGCUUCAGAAUGCAAGAGUUUAAAUUCCUUUUCAAAAAUAGCAGGCUUGAAAAUAAAUUACAAUAAAUUGGUUAUAUUGUCCAUCAUUGUCCCACAUCAGGAGUGUGUUUGGCUGUAUUCAGGCUUCAAGUUAUUGUGUGGUGAGUUUGAAUACUUAGGUUUAAUAGUUACUGCUGAAAUUAAUCAGCUGUCCAUAGAAAUUAUGACCAGCAUUUCAAAAAAUUAAGAAAUGAAUUUAGGUCAUGGAAAUGUUUUUAGUUGGGCAACUUGAUUUAAACUUUUUUUAAUAUUGUGCUGUUGUGUUUUAAUGUUGUAACUUGCACUUGGACCUUAGGGUGAAGGGCACAUAAUACAUUAAAUGAAUGAAUGAAUAAAGUAUAGAAUGCCCAAGCCUGUAACUUCUGAGACUUUGCUCCAGAUGCCCCAUCAUUAGAUAUUAAGUUGGUAGCUGCUAGGUAUAUUCCAUUGUAGCUCCCUGACUACAGGUCCUCAUCCUGAUUUGCCUGUCACCUUAUCUGAUAUCUUUUUAGAUGCCAGGUGAAAAUUGCUUUAUUUAUUAUAUGCUUUGGUGGGGUUUAAUGAUGGGCUGGUGGUGGUUUAACACACCUAGGAGUAGGUCUGAUUGAACUUAAGGGAACAUUUCUGAGCAGACAGUGGGCCAUUUGCACUAUCCAGUGCAGAGGUGGGGAGCCUGUAUCCACACCUACCCACACCCAAUGAUGCUGGACUCCAGCUCCCAUCAGCCUCAGACAGGGUGGUUAUUGAGCAGGAAUGAUGGGAGUUGCAGUCCAACAACAGGUUCUCCAUCAGUCAUCUAAUGCUACCAUUCUUGAUAUGUAUCUAUAAUGCAUUUUACAAAACAGCUAUCCUUUUUAAAAUUAUGCAAACUGCCUCAAACUUCAAUUUGAUGGAAAGGGCGAGGUGGCGGGGGGAGUAAAAAUCUUUCCAGUAGCAAAACAAAAGCAAACGUGGUGCUCUGGACUACUGGCGACACUCCUGGAAUGAAUAUGUCACAACCCAGAAACGUGCUACAAACCGUUUCUCCAGACACCAAUCUCCAUUUGGCUAUGGAACCAUGAUAAUUAUGUAGGGUGGUUUUAGGCAUGCAAGACCAUGCGGUCUUGAUAUGCAUGAAAGGAAACACAUAAUCUCCUCCCUCCCCCCAAAAUAAACCACCCAUGGACUUAAUCAUUGCUAAGGAAAUGUCAGAAUCAUUCUUUAGAUCCCUACUAAGUAAUGUCCAUGCUGACCUAAACUAGACUUGGGAUGUAAGCCUUACCCAAUGGCCAGGCUCCCAAUCCUUUCUUCAGCCAGCAACCAUGGAGUCUCUUCAACGUGUCAUAUUUCAAAAGGGAAUAAAAUGGAAGGGGAGAAAGGUAGAAAUUCUAGAGUUCUCUGGCAAGAAGAUCAGAAAAAGGAGAGAGUAGGGGGGAAAGAAAUUACAGCUUGGCCUCCUUGCUGAUAUUAUAGUGGAGCAGCUCAGAAAUAGCUUCACAGGGAAGGUCGAUUAAAAAAAAGGAAAAAGGAAAGGAGUGGAGUAACUAUAAAACCAGCCAUAAAACAAGGUUGCAAUUUUAACCUUCCUCUCGAAACCUCAAGAUGAAUAUCAUAGAGAAAUAAUUAGAUAUGCGGAAGAGGCACUUCAAAUCAAAAGCCCUCCUUGCGCCUUUCGCAUUUGUACAAGCAAGAAGGGUGGAAGGAGGGAGAGAAAAGAGCAUGAACAUAUCAAGCUUCAAGUUCUCCCUGUGUGAACUGAUGGAGGGAGAUAUAAAAAAAAAACCCUAUAUAAAUAGCACUUGAGCCGUUUUCAUGUCAUUAUCUCACUGCCUUCUCAUUCCCUCCACU